GACGAACCCGAGCGAACGUUGUUCGGAAUCACUGGGCUUAAAGGGCGCGUAGGCGGGCUAUCAAGUCCGGGGUGAAAUCCUCCAGCUCAACUGGAGAACGGCCUCGGAUACUGAUGGCCUCGAGGGAGAUAGGGGCACGCGGAACUGUGGGUGGAGCGGUGAAAUGCGUUGAUAUCAUUAGGAACACCUGUGGCGAAAGCAGCUUACUGGGUCUUAUCUGACGCUGAGGCACGAAAGCUAGGGGAGCGAAC
rnacentral:rRNA from 1 species